rnacentral:rRNA from 1 species
AGCGAACGCUGGCGGCAGGCCUAACACAUGCAAGUCGAGCGCCCAGCAAUGGGAGCGGCAGACGGGUGAGUAACGCGUGGAGAUCUGCCCAAUGGUACGGAAUAACCCAGGGAAACUUGGAUUAAUACCGUAUGUGCCCUUCGGGGGAAAGAUUUAUCGCCAUUGGAUGAACCCGCGUCGGAUUAGCUAGUUGGUGAGGUAAAGGCUCACCAAGGCGACGAUCCGUAGCUGGUCUGAGAGGAUGAUCAGCCACACUGGGACUGAGACACGGCCCAGACUCCUACGGGAGGCAGCAGUGGGGAAUAUUGGACAAUGGGCGCAAGCCUGAUCCAGCCAUGCCGCGUGAGUGAUGAAGGCCUUAGGGUUGUAAAGCUCUUUCGCCGGUGAAGAUAAUGACGGUAACCGGAGAAGAAGCCCCGGCUAACUUCGUGCCAGCCGCCGCUGUAAGAC